GACGAACGCUGGCGGCGUGCUUAACACAUGCAAGUCGAACGGUAAGGCCCUUCGGGGUACACGAGUGGCGAACGGGUGAGUAACACGUGGGUGAUCUGCCCUGCACUUCGGGAUAAGCCUGGGAAACUGGGUCUAAUACCGGAUAGGACCCUGGGAUGCAUGUCCUGGGGGGGAAAGCUUUUGCGGUGUGGGAUGGGCCCGCGGCCUAUCAGCUUGUUGGUGGGGUGAUGGCCUACCAAGGCGACGACGGGUAGCCGGCCUGAGAGGGUGACCGGCCACACUGGGACUGAGAUACGGCCCAGACGCCUCCGGGAGGCAGCAGUGGGGAAUAUUGCACAAUGGGCGCAAGCCUGAUGCAGCGACGCCGCGUGAGGGAUGACGGCCUUCGGGUUGUAAACCUCUUUCAGCACCGACGAAGCGCAAGUGACGGUAGGUGCAGAAGAAGGAUCGGCCAACUACGUGCCAGCCGCCGCAGUAA
rnacentral:rRNA from 1 species